GACGAACGCUGGCGGCGUGCUUAACACAUGCAAGUCGAAGAUAGUGGCGAACGGGUGAGUAAUACGUGGUUAACCUGCCCUCCUUUUGGGGCUAACCCUUGGAAACGGGUUCUACUACCGACGUAAGGGGGAGGGGCUAGGUGCCUGUCGGCUUGUUGGUGGGGUGAUGGCCUACCAAGGCGGUGACGGGUAGCCGGCCUGAGAGGGUGACCGGCCAACUUGGGACUGAGAUACGGUCCAAACUCCUACGGGAGGCAGCAGGGAGGAAUAUUGGUCAAUGGGCGCUAGCCUGAACCAGCCAAGUAGAGGGAAGGAGGAAGGCUGAUGGGUCGUAAACUUCUUUUAUAUAAGAACAUGUAUUAUAUGAAUAAGCACCGGCUAACUCCGUGCCAGCCGCCGCGGUAAUAC
rnacentral:rRNA from 1 species